AUUCGGCAGACGAGUCCCAAAUAAGAUGAAAUGCGCGUCCUGGAU
rnacentral:hammerhead_ribozyme from 1 species